AACGCAGCGAAGGGCGAUAAGUAAUGUGAAUUGCAGAAUUCAGUGAAUCAUCGAAUCUUUGAACGCACAUUGCCGCCCCUUGGUAUUCCGGGGGGCAUGCCUGUUCGAGCGUCAUUUCAACCCUCAAGCUCUGCUUGGUAUUGGGCCCCUGCUGGCAACGGUAGGACCUUAAAAAUAGUGGCGGUGUCUUUAGGUCCUGAGCGUAGUACAUUUCUCGCUAUAGGUCCCUGAAGGUUACUGGCCAGCAACCCCAAUUUUUCUAUGGUUGACCUCGGAUCAGGUAGGGAUACCCGCUGAACUUAA
rnacentral:rRNA from 1 species